rnacentral:rRNA from 1 species
GACGAACGCUGGCGGCGUGCCUAAUACAUGCAAGUCGAACGAACUCUGGUAUUGAUUGGUGCUUGCAUCAUGAUUUACAUUUGAGUGAGUGGCGAACUGGUGAGUAACACGUGGGAAACCUGCCCAGAAGCGGGGGAUAACACCUGGAAACAGAUGCUAAUACCGCAUAACAACUUGGACCGCAUGGUCCGAGUUUGAAAGAUGGCUUCGGCUAUCACUUUUGGAUGGUCCCGCGGCGUAUUAGCUAGAUGGUGAGGUAACGGCUCACCAUGGCAAUGAUACGUAGCCGACCUGAGAGGGUAAUCGGCCACAUUGGGACUGAGACACGGCCCAAACUCCUACGGGAGGCAGCAGUAGGGAAUCUUCCACAAUGGACGAAAGUCUGAUGGAGCAACGCCGCGUGAGUGAAGAAGGGUUUCGGCUCGUAAAACUCUGUUGUUAAAGAAGAACAUAUCUGAGAGUAACUGUUCAGGUAUUGACGGUAUUUAACCAGAAAGCCACGGCUAACUACGUGCCAGCAGCCGCGGUAAUACGUAGGUGGCAAGCGUUGUCCGGAUUUAUUGGGCGUAAAGCGAGCGCAGGCGGUUUUUUAAGUCUGAUGUGAAAGCCUUCGGCUCAACCGAAGAAGUGCAUCGGAAACUGGGAAACUUGAGUGCAGAAGAGGACAGUGGAACUCCAUGUGUAGCGGUGAAAUGCGUAGAUAUAUGGAAGAACACCAGUGGCGAAGGCGGCUGUCUGGUCUGUAACUGACGCUGAGGCUCGAAAGUAUGGGUAGCAAACAGGAUUAGAUACCCUGGUAGUCCAUACCGUAAACGAUGAAUGCUAAGUGUUGGAGGGUUUCCGCCCUUCAGUGCUGCAGCUAACGCAUUAAGCAUUCCGCCUGGGGAGUACGGCCGCAAGGCUGAAACUCAAAGGAAUUGACGGGGGCCCGCACAAGCGGUGGAGCAUGUGGUUUAAUUCGAAGCUACGCGAAGAACCUUACCAGGUCUUGACAUACUAUGCAAAUCUAAGAGAUUAGACGUUCCCUUCGGGGACAUGGAUACAGGUGGUGCAUGGUUGUCGUCAGCUCGUGUCGUGAGAUGUUGGGUUAAGUCCCGCAACGAGCGCAACCCUUAUUAUCAGUUGCCAGCAUUAAGUUGGGCACUCUGGUGAGACUGCCGGUGACAAACCGGAGGAAGGUGGGGAUGACGUCAAAUCAUCAUGCCCCUUAUGACCUGGGCUACACACGUGCUACAAUGGAUGGUACAACGAGUUGCGAACUCGCGAGAGUAAGCUAAUCUCUUAAAGCCAUUCUCAGUUCGGAUUGUAGGCUGCAACUCGCCUACAUGAAGUCGGAAUCGCUAGUAAUCGCGGAUCAGCAUGCCGCGGUGAAUACGUUCCCGGGCCUUGUACACACCGCCCGUCACACCAUGAGAGUUUGUAACACCCAAAGUCGGUGGGGUAACCUUUUAGGAACCAGCCGCCUAAGGUGGGACAGAUGAUUAGGGUGAAGUCG